rnacentral:rRNA from 1 species
UACGUAGGGUGCGAGCGUUGCCCGGAUUUAUUGGGCGUAAAGGGCGCGUAGGCGGCUUUGCAAGUGACGGGUGAAAUCCCUCGGCUUAACCGAGGAACUGCCUGUCAAACUGCAUGGCUUGAGACCGGGAGAGGUGAGUGGAAUUCCCAGUGUAGCGGUGAAAUGCGUAGAUAUUGGGAGGAACACCAGUGGCGAAGGCGGCUCACUGGACCGGUACUGACGCUGAUGCGCGAAAGCGUGGGGAGCAAACAGG